CCUAGUGGCAGACGGGUGAGGUAACAACGUGGUCAACCUUCCCUUUAGUGGGGGAUAACUAGCCGAAAGGUUAGCUAAUACCGCAUAACAUCUUCGGGCGGCAUCGCCCUUGGAUAAAAGGAGCAAUCCGCUUAAGGACGGGACCGCGUCCCAUUAGUUAGUUGGUGGGGUAAUGGCCUACCAAGACUUCGAUGGGUAGCUGGUUUGAGAGAGCGACCAGCCACACUGGGACUGAGAAACGGCCCAG
rnacentral:rRNA from 1 species